rnacentral:miRNA from 1 species
CGUGUGUGUGUGUGUGCGUGUGUGUGUGUACACAUACACACACACACACACACACACC